UACGUAGGGGGCAAGCGUUGUCCGGAUUUAUUGGGCGUAAAGAGCGUGUAGGCGGCCAAGCAGGUCCGCUGUGAAAACUCGAGGCUCAACCUCGAGACGUCGGUGGAAACCGUUUGGCUAGAGUCCGGAAGAGGAGAAUGGAAUUCCCGGUGUAGCGGUGAAAUGCGCAGAUAUCGGGAAGAACACCCGUGGCGAAGGCGGUUCUCUGGGACGGUACUGACGCUGAGACGCGAAAGCGUGGGGAGCGAACAGG
rnacentral:rRNA from 1 species